AGCUUCCCCUUAUACACCACAUUCGGCGCCUUCUCCCCAUGCUCCGACACAAUAUUCUCCGACGCAAACCCCGACGUCGCUAGCCUCAGCUGCUCAAACGAAAACUCCUGGAACGCCGGCAGGUCAUAUGCCUCCCCCCUCCCGUCACUCUCGUUAUCCGGCGCCUCCAGUACUGUCCCCUUGUACUGCGAGCUCCAGCAGCAGCUGCUGAACCUCGAGAACCCAGACCCCAUCCCAAAUCAAUCUUGGUGAGCUUUGAAGCACCAGAUCCAGCUUCACCAACUGAUGAAUCAAACAGGAGAUCGGAUCUUGGGAUGAAAUUCCGAAAAAAAAAU
rnacentral:misc_RNA from 1 species